AGCCCCGUAGUGUAGUGGCCAAUCAUCUCCGGUUCUGGGCCGGGGGACCUAGGUUCGAAUCCUGGCGGGGCUA
rnacentral:tRNA from 1 species